rnacentral:lncRNA from 1 species
CGCCCCGCCCCUCGUGGACGAGCGCGCCCCCGCGCCGGCGUCCCCGGGGCGCGCGUCCUCGCUGCCCGGGCCGGUGCGGCGGGAGGGGCCUCCGCGAGAAGCGCGCUCUCCCCGGGCGCGGGAAAGCUCACGCCGCCGGGGGCCUCCUGGCACCUGCCGCGGGGACUGCAGGGGAAGCCGCUUAAAUCGCCUGCCUUUGCCUUCUCACCCUCGCCCUUGAAGAAGCAUGGUGAUUUGGGCCAUCCAGUGCCAGCCUGAAAAAAGCACAGAGGAGCAGUGGUGUGUGACUUGAGGGCAGAGGCCAAAACACCUCCCCCCCCUUCCCAACUGCAGUAGAAAUUCCUUCCUUAGGUAAGAUCCAUGCUGCUAGAGGAGUCCUCAGGGCCACUGCCACAACACUGGAUGUCAGGAUUGAGCACUCCGCAGACCAUACUACAGGCUUCUCCCACAGCUCCUGGUGAAACCUGGUCUCUUAAGUGCUUCAUAUGCUGAGGAUUUCACCUCUGCACAUGCAAAUUGCCCCCUUCCAUCUGAUCAAAACCUUUUAGACUUCAGCCUGGCACUCCUUCCCUCUGUCAGCCUCCAGUCAACAAGAACUCUGCAUCACCCAUUCACAGAUGCUCAGGAGCAUCACAUGGCUGAAACCAUGAUAGGCCACAGAAUAUGUGAGACCCCUUAUCUCUACUCAUGUGGUUUUGUUGUUUUCAGAGAAUAAUAAUGUAUACAUUAAUUAAUGUAUUAAUAGAUUGUAUAUUAACAGAUUAUGCACUAAUGUAAUUAAUAUUUUAUAGUUAAUAAUUAUAUUACUUAUGUUUUAACAAUUAAUACAUACUUAUGAAUAAG